rnacentral:rRNA from 1 species
ACACGUGGGCAACCUGCCUGUAAGACUGGGAUAACUUCGGGAAACCGAAGCUAAUACCGGAUAGGAUCUUCUCCUUCAUGGGAGAUGAUUGAAAGAUGGUUUCGGCUAUCACUUACAGAUGGGCCCGCGGUGCAUUAGCUAGUUGGUGAGGUAACGGCUCACCAAGGCAACGAUGCAUAGCCGACCUGAGAGGGUGAUCGGCCACACUGGGACUGAGACACGGCCCAGACUCCUACGGGAGGCAGCAGUAGGGAAUCUUCCGCAAUGGACGAAAGUCUGACGGAGCAACGCCGCGUGAGUGAUGAAGGCUUUCGGGUCGUAAAACUCUGUUGUUAGGGAAGAACAAGUACGAGAGUAACUGCUCGUACCUUGACGGUACCUAACCAGAAAGCCACGGCUAACUACGUGCCAGCAGCCGCGGUAAUACGUAGGUGGCAAGCGUUAUCCGGAAUUAUUGGGCGUAAAGCGCGCGCAGGCGGUUUCUUAAGUCUGAUGUGAAAGCCCACGGCU